UUGCAUAUGAUGAAUUUUACUCGGAUUCCCCUUCAAGACUUUAUGGGUGAUGUAGACACGAGUUUCUGAUGCA
rfam:Jatropha curcas cultivar GZQX0401 scaffold906_27, whole genome shotgun sequence.